rnacentral:rRNA from 1 species
UAGUAACGGCGAGUGAAGAGGGAAAAGCUCAAAUUUUGAAUCUGGUGUCUUUGGCGCCCGAGUUGUAAUCUAGAGAAGUGUUUUCUGCCUCGGACCACACAUAAAUUCCCUGGAAUGGGGUGUCAUAGAGGGUGAGAAUCCCGUUUGUGGUGUGGACUACCUUGGCUCUGUGAUACACUCUCAACGAGUCGAGUUGUUUGGGAAUGCAGCUCAAAAUGGGUGGUAAAUUCCAUCUAAAGCUAAAUAUUGGCGAGAGACCGAUAGCGAACAAGUACCGUGAGGGAAAGAUGAAAAGCACUUUGGAAAGAGAGUGAAACAGUACGUGAAAUUGUUGAAAGGGAAGCGUUUGAAGUCAGUCACAUCGGUCGGAAUUCAGCCUGGCUUUGCCUGGUGUACUUUUUGGCAGAUGGGUCAGCGUCAAUUUUGACUGAGGGAAAAAGACUUGAGGAAUGUGGCUGCCUUCGGGCAGUGUUAUAGCCUCUUGUUGUAUGUCUCAGUUGGGAUUGAGGACCGCAGCACGCCUUAUGGCCGGGGUACGCGCCCUCGGAACGUGCUUAGGA